UGUAUUUUUAAAAUAGUUCACUAUCUAAGCAAUACAGACUGUAUUGUCAAACCAGGGUGUCAUUCGGUUGAACAUUAAGGUUUAAUUAACGCACACUCCCACCUGAAACUCACAGAGUCACACCCAAAUUGUCACAUGAUCCACUGGACUUAUGCACACGCCCACCUCACAUGACACAUGGGCUGGGGUGCAUGUGACCAUUUUAAAUAACAGGUUUGUUUCACUUCAAGAAGGACAGGAAGAAGAUCUUGCUGCAACUAUUCAGUGCUUUGCUCAGUCAUGCGUUUAUGUGCUGCUGACGUUUUGCAUGCGUUGUGAAUCUGGGGUCAGUCCAAAACUUGCCGUAAAGAUGUUUCUUUCAUUUUGUUUUCCAUCCAGUGAAAUGAAUGAAAAAAAUAAAGAUUUAGCAGAGUAAUCAUAGCCUGUAAAUGGUCUGUGAGAGCAAUAAUGCAGGCUGCUAGUAUAUAAUACCGUACAAAAUGGGGCGAUGGCACACUGCAAGAUUGACUUCACCAUUUUCAAACAUGAGAUGCAUCAAAACGCUUUUUCACAGAUCACAGUUGGACAAAGGUGAACUCUGACCUGCAAGGCAGCUGGAGCCAGCCAGCCAGAGCUCGCAUUAAACAGGACAUUCUUGACUUUGUCAGUCAAAUGGGAUUCAGUUGAAAUGAGUGUGAGAUGGAGUGAAUAUUUGCAGUAAGUGAGUAAGUGUGAAUGUGCUUUUAUCAGGAAAUCCAGGAUGGGAGUUAGUUGGGAUUAUUCUUCCCUCCCCUGUUGUUCCCGGACAAGGAACUGAGCUUAGAAAAGUGUAAAACCUUAGUGAAUAUUGUACUAGAUUGUAAUUUUAUGUAGGAAAAUACAAAAAAAAAAAUCUGAAUAUCUGAUAAUCUGAAUAUAUACUGUUAUUAGCUGUAUUUAGUUUGGGGGAGUGCAGCCUUGCAUUGCAUUUCACGGCAAAUACUGAAUUCAGCUCUCCAAGAUGACAAAUUGUUUACACUAUGGUUCUCUCAGCACUUUAUUUAUUUAUUAUUUUUUAGAAACCAAGCCAUUCAGACUGUAGCUGCAUCGAAAUGUUGGAUUCCCUCCUGCCUCCAGGUAAAAUUAAAUAAAAUCAUAGUUAGGCACAUUUUGUGAAUAGAAUAUAGAAUAAUAAAUAACAAAAUAGACUUUAUUGGGGAAAAAGGGGGGAAAACGUAAUGUAAGGUUACUGUAGGGACUUUUGGCUAAAAGAGGUCACUAAAGGUCAAUUAAGGCAAAUGUUAUGUCACCAUUAUUUAGUGUAUGUAUAUUAUGUGCUAUUGUAAGAGAUGCAGAUGAAGAAGAACAGUAAUUGUACAUAGCAGAUCAAAAAGAAUCAGUCAGUAUCAUUCAGUAGAAAACAAACACAAAUCAGAAUGAUUAGAACAGAAAAAUGAGGAGCAGAACAGAUAGAACUCACCAGAAUAAAAAUAAAGCCAAUCUCCCCCACAUCUUUUUUUCCCCUGAGCUGCUGUCUGUGGGUGUGAUGAAUAGAUGGGAACGGUUCAUUACAGCCCUAUUGGUAUUUUCCGUUCUUUCAAGAGACCCUGGCCACUGCAUUCACCGUGCGUUGUUGCACAUGUGCAUGUUUUGUGUUCCACUCUCUAAAUAGAGUCAAUCCCAUGUAGAUCAAGAAAAGAGGAAGAAGUUAAAACAUACGUGUGGCUGCUGCUUAUCUGUCAAGAUGUGUGAUUUUGAGAUGUGGCUACAUGCCUGUGAGCUGUUGUUAAAUUUGAAUGGUGUAUAGCCGAGCUUGGUGCUCAUGCACAGGAUGCAAAUGAAAGCUGGAACCAGGUACACGACAGCUGAUUCCCAUGCACUCACUGGCUGCACACCGCAGUGGGGUCAUGGUAGAGGAGGAAGUGAAAGUUGCUUAAGACAUGAGAAUACCUUCAGUAUUUUAGACCUACUGCGUGACCCUGUGAUGAACUUUAAUUAUACUAUUUAAGACCACAAUGUGCAACUGCUGAAAUAGUAAAAAUGUUUUGUAUUCAGAGGGUUUUCACCAAUAUGGAAACUUGGCUGAACCAAUCUGAUGCCAAAUUAGUAUGGUGCUAGUGUUGAAGUGAAAGUGUACUGGGGUGGGGCAGCCUACACCCAUUUAAAAGAAUUCCUGUACUUGUAUAGUAGAGCCCAGCAACACAUUAAGUACUUGUUUUAACUAAAGUUCAAAUCUAAUCCUGUAGACCAAAAGCCUACAGAAGGCCAGAGUGGGUGAGCAUCACUCUGACAGCUACCUCACCUCAGCCGGUUCACCCAAAUGAUGUUUUAUCUCCAGUACUUUUUAUUUAAUAACCACUGACUCCUGAAGUAAUCACUCAGACCCAUUUUUGAAAGACUCAACCAGUGUUUUUGCACAUUUUAGCCCAUUUACUCCAUAUCACAUAUAUCUUAAAUAACUGUUCCAAAAAUGUCUUGGCAUUAAAACAUACUUUUAUUAACACAUUCUCAAUAAGAAGUCUUAAGUUGUCUCUUUCACUGUAUCUGUAGCGAAGACGAAAGGGAAUAAUGCUCCCCCAUAGGAAUUAGGCAUUAUGGAAAUUUGCAGUAAAGUAAUAGGGAUCACCAUGCCAUUUAUGUUAUCCAUUUAAACACAUUUUAUCCUGUCAAACCCUCAUCACCCUCUGUUCACUGAGUUCAGUUUACUCCUAGCUAGCAAGCAAUAUUUUGCCCUAUCUCUUCAUUUAAAUACAAAGGUGAAAACUGAUGUACUUUUCAGAAAUAUUUAUACUUUCAUCACAUAAAAAAAUGUAAUCUGAAAUUAAAGACUUACACAGAGAGGAAUAGAUUAUUAUAGUCAUCUACAUAACACCCGUAGAGUGAUGAUUCAUAAGCCCUAUGUAGGACAGUAUCACAUAGUCACUGUUGUACAGACUAAUCUGGUAAAACUGAAAAAUUCAUCACUUUGUCGUGCAUGUGUGUAUAUGCGUGUGUGUGCAUAUGUAUUGUGAUCAAGACAGACGGUCUCAUCCUAGUGGAAAGAAACAGCUCACUACUGUCUCCAUGGAAACAGGCAAGAGCCGAUGGAAGUGUGUGUCUCUGUGUAUGUGUGUAAUAUGUCUGUCUAAUGGGAAAGAGACGGAGAGAAUCCCCCAUUCUAUUCUAUUCAAUUCUAUUCUGUUCUGACCUAUAAACCUCAAAUAAAUAAGUGCACAAAUACAAGGGAGUAUUGUCAAUUUUUUGUGUGCAUCAUAAUAAUUAACUUCAUCCAGAGAUGUGUCAGUCCUGUGAAGCAUUUCCAUGGUGCUUCUCUCUGCCUUCUGCACAAUGUAUGCUGGAAGAAGCCACAUCCCUGUGACUGAUGAAGAAGUAGGCAGGUGCAGGGCUGCCAUCAGAAAGGCUCGCUCUAUCUGACCCAGCCCUCCAAACGCCAGCAGCAUCUGAAGAAAAAUGAGAAGUAUGCAGGAGAUACAAAGCAAUCAACUUUCAAAUUAACAUCCCAUCAACUUGGCGUCCAAUCCAGUGGAGUGACCUCUCAAUGAAUGAAUAAAGCAGUAACCCAGUCAAUCAAUUCA